CGUUGAGAAUAAGCGGCGGCUGAAGUCUCAAAGAAGAGAACAUUCAAUAAGUUCAGCUUCACGGGCGUCGGUUUGCUCUUCUCGACAUGUCCACUGAUGAGCUCAUCAAGCUCUUCCUUGCCAUAGCUCACAGAAGAUUGGAUCUAAGCAUGUGUGCUGUGGUGGGUGUGUUGGUGCUGUCGUGACUAAAAGAAGUAGAAAAGAAGGAAAAACAUAAUGAAAUUUGGCUUCUGUUGCAAGGAUCUAAGCAUGUGUGCUGUGGUGGGAUGCAGUUUCAGCUGGCGUUAUGCAUUCUGGGGAGAGGCAUUUGUGAUGAAAUUAUG